UACGAAGGGGGCUAGCGUUGUUCGGAAUCACUGGGCGUAAAGGGUGCGUAGGCGGCGCGGUAAGUCGGGUGUGAAAUCUCGGAGCUUAACUCCGAAACUGCAUUCGAUACUGCCGUGCUUGAGGACUGGAGAGGAGACUGGAAUUUACGGUGUAGCGGUGAAAUGCGUAGAUAUCGUAAGGAAGACCAGUGGCGAAGGCGGGUCUCUGGACAGUUCCUGACGCUGAGGCACGAAGGUCAGGGGAGCAAACGGG
rnacentral:rRNA from 1 species